rnacentral:snRNA from 1 species
GGAUGUAAGGGCAAUGUGGCUUUGGCAUUUCACCCCCCUUCUCAUAAGGGUUAUCUGGCUGUUGAGGCAGGAAUCUCCUUCCCUGCCAUGCCAUGGGCAUCCCUUCCUAAACUGAAUAUCCAGUUGAAGAGGACAACCUUCCUUCCCUGAUUAAGGAGGACCAUUCUUCAGCUAAGGACAUAUAAAUAGCUGUGCUCCCCCAUUAGAACUGCCAAACAAGCUCCCUAUUCUUUUAAGGCAGGAAAACCAACUGAUAAAUCAAAAAACUGAUCCUUACUCUCAUUUGUGA